rnacentral:rRNA from 1 species
CCCGGCGAUUAUGACGGCGGGGAAACACCCGUUCCCAUUCCGAACACGGCAGUUAAGCCCGUUCGUGCCGAUGGUACUGCCAGGGCAGCCUGGUGGGAGAGUAGGUCGUCGCCGGGU